UACAGAGGUCCCAAGCGUUGUUCGGAUUCACUGGGCGUAAAGGGUGCGUAGGCGGCGGGGUAAGUUCAAUGUGAAAGCUCCGGGCUCAACCCGGAAAUGGCAUCGAAGACUAUCCCGCUCGAGGAUUGGAGGGGGGACUGGAAUUCUCGGUGUAGCAGUGAAAUGCGUAGAUAUCGAGAGGAACACCAGUGGCGAAGGCGAGUCCCUGGACAAUUCCUGACGCUGAGGCACGAAAGCUAGGGGAG
rnacentral:rRNA from 1 species